rnacentral:lncRNA from 1 species
GACCGUGCGGACUUAAGAUGGAGGCACUUCCUGUCUGCGGCGGGAAGAGAAGGCUCGGUCGGAGCCGGGAAUGCUGGGACUUGUACCUCCGCCGGUCACGGCCGCCGCCCCCAGCGACGUCACCCACACGCGCAGAAGCGGACGCCGCGGUCAAGAUGUCUCUGCCAUGCCCACGGGACGCACGGACGCACGGACGCACGGACGGACUCCACAAGGUAGGAAGCCUGCGCCGAGCGCACCGCCGCACCCACCACAGCACACAGGACACACGCGGGCCCCGCGCCCGCCCAGGCACACGCGGCACACACGGCACACACGGCAGGCAGGCCAGGCACACGCAUCCGCAGGACCCGCACCCGCCACGCAGACACGGACGAGCCGCCGCGGUCAAGAUGUUCACCCGCCGCGGUCAAGAUGUAUGUGCCACCGACCCUCGCCCCGCUGGACGGACGGACGGACGCGCGCACGCCGUCAGCGUCCACCGGUCACUGCCGCCGCCCACAGUGAUGUCACCCACGAAAGCACACACGUAGAAGCGGACGCCGUGGUCAAGAUGUCUCUGCCAUCCCCACAGGACGGACGGACGGACUCCACAAGGUGCGCGUGUCGCCGAGGCCGCCAGGACGGAGCGAUUCUCACGGAGGAAGGAGCACGCCAACGGGGCCUGACUGCGUACAGAAAUGUCCCCCUCAAUAA